rnacentral:rRNA from 1 species
GAUGAACGCUGGCGGCGUGCUUAACACAUGCAAGUCGAACGGUGAAGGCGGAGCUUGCUCUGCUGGAUCAGUGGCGAACGGGUGAGUAACACGUGAGCAAUCUGCCCCUGACUCUGGGAUAAGCGCUGGAAACGGCGUCUAAUACUGGAUACGAGCUGCGAAGGCAUCUUCAGCAGCUGGAAAGAACUUCGGUCAGGGAUGAGCUCGCGGCCUAUCAGCUUGUUGGUGAGGUAACGGCUCACCAAGGCGUCGACGGGUAGCCGGCCUGAGAGGGUGACCGGCCACACUGGGACUGAGGCACGGCCCAGACUCCUACGGGAGGCAGCAGUGGGGAAUAUUGCACAAUGGGCGAAAGCCUGAUGCAGCAACGCCGCGUGAGGGACGACGGCCUUCGGGUUGUAAACCUCUUUUAGCAGGGAAGAAGCGAAAGUGACGGUACCUGCAGAAAAAGCGCCGGCUAACUACGUG